AGAGUUUGAUCCUGGCUCAGAUUGAACGCUGGCGGCAUGCCUUACACAUGCAAGUCGAACGGCAGCGCGGGAGCUUGCUCCUGGCGGCGAGUGGCGAACGGGUGAGUAAUACAUCGGAACGUGUCCGUUUGUGGGGGACAACCAGCCGAAAGGUUGGCUAAUACCGCAUAAGACCUGAGGGUGAAAGCCGGGGACCGCAAGGCCUGGCGCAGACGGAGCGGCCGAUGAUUGAUUAGCUUGUUGGCGGGGUAAAGGCCCACCAAGGCGACGAUCAAUAGCUGGUCUGAGAGGACGACCAGCCACACUGGAACUGAGACACGGUCCAGACUCCUACGGGAGGCAGCAGUGGGGAAUAUUGCACAAUGGGCGCAAGCCUGAUGCAGCGACGCCGCGUGCGGGAUGACGGCCUUCGGGUUGUAAACCGCUUUUGACUGGGAGCAAGCCCUUCGGGGUGAGUGUACCUUUCGAAUAAGCACCGGCUAACUACGUGCCAGCAGCCGCGGUAAUACGUAGGGUGCAAGCGUUAUCCGGAAUUAUUGGGCGUAAAGGGCUCGUAGGCGGUUCGUCGCGUCCGGUGUGAAAGUCCAUCGCUUAACGGUGGAUCCGCGCCGGGUACGGGCGGGCUUGAGUGCGGUAGGGGAGACUGGAAUUCCCGGUGUAACGGUGGAAUGUGUAGAUAUCGGGAAGAACACCAAUGGCGAAGGCAGGUCUCUGGGCCGUCACUGACGCUGAGGAGCGAAAGCGUGGGGAGCGAACAGGAUUAGAUACCCUGGUAGUCCACGCCGUAAACG
rnacentral:rRNA from 1 species